CACUGACCCCGCUCAGCGAGCAACCUGGCCUCGGUGCGAGCGAGGAGGUCGAUUUCCUCGCCAUGCCACCGCCGCUUCACCAUCAUCGGAGCGGCAUCCGUA
rnacentral:pre_miRNA from 1 species